rnacentral:tRNA from 1 species
UCCGCAAUAGCUCAAUGGUAGAGCAAUCGGCUGUUAACCGAUGGGUUCUAGGUUCGAGUCCUAGUUGCGGAG